GUCCAGGAAUGGGAAUCGAACCCACAAUGCUCUGCUUACCGGGCAGAUGCCAUGUCCACUAAGUUACCCUGGA
rnacentral:tRNA from 1 species